rnacentral:rRNA from 1 species
GAUGAACGCUGGCGGCGUGCCUAAUACAUGCAAGUCGAGCGAACGGACGAGAAGCUUGCUUCUCUGAUGUUAGCGGCGGACGGGUGAGUAACACGUGGAUAACCUACCUAUAAGACUGGGAUAACUUCGGGAAACCGGAGCUAAUACCGGAUAAUAUUUUGAACCGCAUGGUUCAAAAGUGAAAGACGGUCUUGCUGUCACUUAUAGAUGGAUCCGCGCUGCAUUAGCUAGUUGGUAAGGUAACGGCUUACCAAGGCAACGAUGCAUAGCCGACCUGAGAGGGUGAUCGGCCACACUGGAACUGAGACACGGUCCAGACUCCUACGGGAGGCAGCAGUAGGGAAUCUUCCGCAAUGGGCGAAAGCCUGACGGAGCAACGCCGCGUGAGUGAUGAAGGUCUUCGGAUCGUAAAACUCUGUUAUUAGGGAAGAACAUAUGUGUAAGUAACUGUGCACAUCUUGACGGUACCUAAUCAGAAAGCCACGGCUAACUACGUGCCAGCAGCCGCGGUAAUACGUAGGUGGCAAGCGUUAUCCGGAAUUAUUGGGCGUAAAGCGCGCGUAGGCGGUUUUUUAAGUCUGAUGUGAAAGCCCACGGCUCAACCGUGGAGGGUCAUUGGAAACUGGAAAACUUGAGUGCAGAAGAGGAAAGUGGAAUUCCAUGUGUAGCGGUGAAAUGCGCAGAGAUAUGGAGGAACACCAGUGGCGAAGGCGACUUUCUGGUCUGUAACUGACGCUGAUGUGCGAAAGCGUGGGGAUCAAACAGGAUUAGAUACCCUGGUAGUCCACGCCGUAAACGAUGAGUGCUAAGUGUUAGGGGGUUUCCGCCCCUUAGUGCUGCAGCUAACGCAUUAAGCACUCCGCCUGGGGAGUACGACCGCAAGGUUGAAACUCAAAGGAAUUGACGGGGACCCGCACAAGCGGUGGAGCAUGUGGUUUAAUUCGAAGCAACGCGAAGAACCUUACCAAAUCUUGACAUCCUUUGACAACUCUAGAGAUAGAGCUUUCCCCUUCGGGGGACAAAGUGACAGGUGGUGCAUGGUUGUCGUCAGCUCGUGUCGUGAGAUGUUGGGUUAAGUCCCGCAACGAGCGCAACCCUUAAGCUUAGUUGCCAUCAUUAAGUUGGGCACUCUAAGUUGACUGCCGGUGACAAACCGGAGGAAGGUGGGGAUGACGUCAAAUCAUCAUGCCCCUUAUGAUUUGGGCUACACACGUGCUACAAUGGAUAAUACAAAGGGCAGCGAAUCCGCGAGGCCAAGCAAAUCCCAUAAAAUUAUUCUCAGUUCGGAUUGUAGUCUGCAACUCGACUACAUGAAGCUGGAAUCGCUAGUAAUCGUAGAUCAGCAUGCUACGGUGAAUACGUUCCCGGGUCU